rnacentral:rRNA from 1 species
ACUGGGAUAACUCCGGGAAACCGGGGCUAAUACCGGAUGGUUGUUUGAACCGCAUGGUUCAAACAUAAAAGGUGGCUUCGGCUACCACUUACAGAUGGACCCGCGGCGCAUUAGCUAGUUGGUGAGGUAACGGCUCACCAAGGCAACGAUGCGUAGCCGACCUGAGAGGGUGAUCGGCCACACUGGGACUGAGACACGGCCCAGACUCCUACGGGAGGCAGCAGUAGGGAAUCUUCCGCAAUGGACGAAAGUCUGACGGAGCAACGCCGCGUGAGUGAUGAAGGUUUUCGGAUCGUAAAGCUCUGUUGUUAGGGAAGAACAAGUACCGUUCGAAUAGGGCGGUACCUUGACGGUACCUAACCAGAAAGCCACGGCUAACUACGUGCCAGCAGCCGCGGUAAUACGUAGGUGGCAAGCGUUGUCCGGAAUUAUUGGGCGUAAAGGGCUCGCAGGCGGUUUCUUAAGUCUGAUGUGAAAGCCCCCGGCUCAACCGGGGAGGGUCAUUGGAAACUGGGGAACUUGAGUGCAGAAGAGGAGAGUGGAAUUCCACGUGUAGCGGUGAAAUGCGUAGAGAUGUGGAGGAACACCAGUGGCGAAGGCGACUCUCUGGUCUGUAACUGACGCUGAGGAGCGAAAGCGUGGGGAGCGAACAGGAUUAGAUACCCUGGUAGUCCACGCCGUAAACGAUGAGUGCUAAGUGUUAGGGGGUUUCCGCCCCUUAGUGCUGCAGCUAACGCAUUAAGCACUCCGCCUGGGGAGUACGGUCGCAAGACUGAAACUCAAAGGAAUUGACGGGGGCCCGCACAAGCGGUGGAGCAUGUGGUUUAAUUCGAAGCAACGCGAAGAACCUUACCAGGUCUUGACAUCCUCUGACAAUCCUAGAGAUAGGACGUCCCCUUCGGGGGCAGAGUGACAGGUGGUGCAUGGUUGUCGUCAGCUCGUGUCGUGAGAUGUUGGGUUAAGUCCCGCAACGAGCGCAACCCUUGAUCUUAGUUGCCAGCAUUCAGUUGGGCACUCUAAGGUGACUGCCGGUGACAACCCGGAGGAAGGUGGGGAUGACGUCAAAUCAUCAUGCCCCUUAUGACNUGGGCUACACACGUGCUACAAUGGACAGAACAAAGGGCAGCGAAACCGCGAGGUUAAGCCAAUCCCACAAAUCUGUUGUCAGUUUGGAUUGCAGUCUGCAACUCGGAAGUGGGAACAAGGAAUCGGUAGUAAUUGAUCAUGAGCCAGGAAGUGGUAACAAGGUACCCGUCGAGUUUGAUCCUGGCUCAGGAAGUCGUAACAAGGUAGCCGUAGAGUUUGAUCCUGGCUCAGGAAGUCGUAACAAGGUAGCCGUAGA